rnacentral:lncRNA from 1 species
AUCUGUUGUCAGCAAGCUGUAGACCUUAGAGAACUAACUGCAUUUCCAAUGCGAAGACCAAAGUCCCAAGAGCAGCAUGAAGUUUUCAUUCAAUUCUGAAGGUGGCCAGGUUAAGAUGCUGAUCGCUCUAAAAGACAAGAUCUGACAAUUUGGAGAACUCAAGCCACAAGCCCAUCAUCAUCAUCAUCAUCAUCGGCUCCCCUCCCCCACAUGCCCCGCCCCCUCUUCUUCCCUUUCCCUCUCUCCAGCAGAGUUAAGAAGCCACCAUGUGAUCUGACCUUCCAGCUCUCCCCCCUCAAACUGUGAGAGAAACAUAUGGCUCAACUCAAUACCUUGCUCCUUGGCUUGUAAGCUAUGUUGGAUUAAGUCACAUAAUAUAAAACUUCCCACCAGUCCCUGAAAACUUCUGAAAGUCAGAUAUCGCCUUUGCUCUGGCACCAUCUUGGCAGCUGGCAUGGCAUGUGAAGAACGUUGAGCCUGGGAAAGCACAGUCUGUCUUCGGAGACCUUCUGGGACAACAGAGGUCACUCCUUAGCUGCUUUGUAUCCAACUGUUUCCUGUCAUCAUUCAUACAUUUGGAACAGAUAUUGGCAAAGCAAAGGUUGACUUGGGCUGUGAAGCAGAUAGAACUAGAAAGGGACCUCCCGUGACCCCGUCGGGGAUCCAGCUGGACUCUGGCAAAGUCCCUGGAAUCCAUGGACCCUUCUUCACGGGAAAUGCUAAUUCUACUCUGCUAGGCCACUCUCCAGAGAUAUUCCUCUCAAGUAUCAACAGUGACCAUUGCACUAACACUAGGCCAAAGGCCCUACGCUGCCUGGAAUAUUUAUUUACACCGCUUAUCUAAUGGUUUCUAGAUUAAAACAAUGAUCUU